rnacentral:rRNA from 1 species
UAUAGCAAUAUGUUCUUAGUGGCGAACGGGUGAGUAACGCGUUGGUGACCUGCCCCGAAGCGGGGGAUAACAGUCCGAAAGGAUUGCUAAUACCCCAUGUGAUCACCGGGAUUAGAAUCCGGUGAUUAAAGGAGAAAUUCACUUUGGGAGGGACCUGCGUCCCAUCAGCUUGUUGGUAAGGUAACGGCUUACCAAGGCAAUGACGGGUAGGGGACCUGAGAGGGUGGACCCCCACAAUGGCACUGAAACACGGGCCAUACACCUACGGGUGGCAGCAGUAGGGAAUAUUGGUUAAUCUACGAAAGUGGGAACCAGCAACGCCGCGUGUGCGAUGAAGGCCUUCGGGUCGUAAAGCACUUUUUACAGGGACGAGGAAGGACGGUACCUGUAGAAUAAGCCUCGGCUAACUACGUGCCAGCAGCCGCGGUAACACGUAGGAGGCGAGCGUUAUCCGGAUUUACUGGGCGUAAAGCGCGUGCAGGCGGUUGGGUAAGUUGGAUGUGAAAGCUCCUGGCUUAACUGGGAGAGGUCGUUCAAUACUACCUGACUUGAGAGUGGUAGAGGAAAGCGGAAUUCCGGGUGUAGUGGUGAAAUGCGUAGAUAUCCGGAGGAACACCAGUGGCGAAAGCGGCUUUCUGGACCAUUUCUGACGCUCAGACGCGAAAGCUAGGGUAGCAAACGGGAUUAGAGACCCCGGUAGUCCUAGCUGUAAACGAUGUGAACUUGGCGUCGGUGGCUUCAAAACCAUCGGUGCCGUAGCUAACGCGAUAAGUUCACCGCCUGGGGAGUACGGUCGCAAGAUUAAAACUCAAAGGAAUUGACGG